AGGCAAUUGCUGUGGGAGGCGUGGUGUAACUGCUGGAAGGAAGACACUCCAUUCCUCUGAGCAACGAAGGCCACAUGGAGUCCUGGAUUUUAUGUGGUCCUGGCAUCCAUGAUGCACCACGUGCUGGCAGGUGACUCAGGACGGGGCAGUUAUCAUGGGACACCCGCCGUAUGCUGGCAAUGAACAUGGUCAGUUCUUCUCAGCCACAAAGGCCCCCAAAGUCCUGGAGCUGGUGUGGCUUAGCAUCCACGGUGCGCCCCCUGCUGGUGGAUGGCUCAGGACGGGGCAGUUGCCAUGGGAGGCCCGCCGCCUGCUGGAAGGAAGAUGGUCAAUUCUUUUGAGCCACAAAGGCCCUGCAGAGUCCUGGAGUCAGUGUGGCUUGGCUUCCUGGGUGCCCCUUGUGCUGGUGGAUUGCUCAGGACGGGACAGUUGCCGUGGGAGGUCCGCUGCCUGCUGUCAGGGAAGAUGGUCGAUGCUUCUGAGCAACAUAGGCCCACGUGGAUUCCGUGUGGCCUGGCAUCCACUGUGCACCCCGUGCUAGCGGGUGGCUCAGGACGGAGCAGUUGCCUUGAGAUGCCCACUGCCUGCUGGCACAGCAGAUGGUCAAUUCUUCUGAGCAAUGGAAUCCCCACUGAGUCAUGGAGUCGGUGUGGCCUGGCAUCCACGGUAGCAGCAGUUUGUCAUGAGAGGUCUACCACUUGCUGGCAAAGAAGAUGGUCAAUUCUUCUGACCAACGGAGGCUGCCUUGAGUCCUUGAUUUGGUGUGGCCUGGCGUCUAUGGUGCACCCCAUGCUGGUGGAUGGCUCAGGAUGGGGAAGUUGCCGUGGAAGGCCUGCAGCCUGCUGCAAGGAAGAUGGUUGA
rnacentral:lncRNA from 1 species